rnacentral:rRNA from 1 species
GACGAACGCUGGCGGCGUGCCUAAUACAUGCAAGUUGAGCGCUGAAGGUUGGUACUUGUACCAACUGGAUGAGCAGCGAACGGGUGAGUAACGCGUGGGGAAUCUGCCUUUGAGCGGGGGACAACAUUUGGAAACGAAUGCUAAUACCGCAUAAAAACUUUAAACACAAGUUUUAAGUUUGAAAGAUGCAAUUGCAUCACUCAAAGAUGAUCCCGCGUUGUAUUAGCUAGUUGGUGAGGUAAAGGCUCACCAAGGCGAUGAUACAUAGCCGACCUGAGAGGGUGGUCGGCCACAUUGGGACUGAGACACGGCCCAAACUCCUGCGGGAGGCAGCAGUAGGGAAUCUUCGGCAAUGGACGAAAGUCUGACCGAGCAACGCCGCGUGAGUGGAGAAGGUUUUCGGGUCGUAAAACUCUGUUGGUAGGGAAGAACGUUGGUGAGAGUGGAAAGCUCAUCAAGUGACGGUAACUACCCAGAAAGGGACGGCUAACUACGUG